ACGGGUGAGUAAUACAUCGGAACGUGCCCAAGAGUGGGGGAUAACGGAGCGAAAGCUUUGCUAAUACCGCAUACGAUCUACGGAUGAAAGCAGGGGACCGCAAGGCCUUGCGCUCAUGGAGCGGCCGAUGGCAGAUUUGGUAGUUGGUGGGAUAAAAGCUUACCAAGCCGACGAUCUGUAGCUGGUCUGAGAGGACGACCAGCCACACUGGGACUGAGACACGGCCCAGACUCCUACGGGAGGCAGCAGUGGGGAAUUUUGGACAAUGGGCGCAAGCCUGAUCCAGCCAUGCCGCGUGCAGGAUGAAGGCCUUCGGGUUGUAAACUGCUUUUGUACGGAACGAAAAGCCUCUUUCUAAUAAAGAGGGGUCAUGACGGUACCGUAAGAAUAAGCACCGGCUAACUACGUGCCAGCAGCCGCGGUAAUACGUAGGGUGCGAGCGUUAAUCGGAAUUACUGGGCGUAAAGCGUGCGCAGGCGGUAAUGUAAGACAGAUGUGAAAUCCCCGGGCUCAACCUGGGAACUGCAUUUGUGACUGCAUUGCUGGAGUGCGGCAGAGGGGGAUGGAAUUCCGCGUGUAGCAGU
rnacentral:rRNA from 1 species